AUUCUCACAGUGCCGCUCCGAUCAGAGGUGCAUUUCCUGAAGGAGGGUUGCGGCAGCGACAAUGUUUGCCGAAGCAACAUGCAGGUGAAAUACCGCUACGGUUACAAGGCAACUGACAAAGACACGUUCACUCCGUUAGAAUUGGAGAACGGUGUGCCGGUGAUCUCGCUCAGCGACCAGAAGGACAUCGCAUUGGAGGUCACUGUGACCAAUCUAAAUGGAGAUGAUGCAUACGAAGCCUCUGUGAUUGCCUCCUUC